rnacentral:rRNA from 1 species
UACAGAGGUCUCAAGCGUUGUUCGGAUUCAUUGGGCGUAAAGGGUGCGUAGGUGGCGCGGUAAGUCGGGUGUGAAAUCUCGGAGCUUAACUCCGAAAUUGCAUUCGAUACUGCCGUGCUUGAGGACUGGAGAGGAGACUGGAAUUCAUGGUGUAGCAGUGAAAUGCGUAGAGAUCAUGAGGAAGACCAGUGGCGAAGGCGGGUCUCUGGACAGUUCCUGAUACUGAGGCACGAAGGCCAGGGGAGCAAACGGG